rnacentral:rRNA from 1 species
CCCUUAGAUGUUCUGGGCCGCACGCGCGCUACACUGACGAAUGCAACGAGCUUAUAACCUUGGCCGAAAGGUCUGGGUAAUCUCCAAAUUUCGUCGUGAUGGGGAUAGAUUAUUGCAAUUAUUAAUCUUCAACGAGGAAUGCCUAGUAAGCGCAAGUCAUCAGCUUGCGUUGAUUACGUCCCUGCCCUUUGUACACACCGCCCGUCGCACCUACCGAUUGAAUGGUCCGGUGAAAUUCUCGGACGACGCCAGGGAAUGUUAAUUCGGCACCUGGUGUUGAAAGUUAAUUAAACCUUACCAUUUAGAGGAAGGUGAAGUCGUAACA